UCUGCUUAUACAAAACCUUCCUCAAAGAUGCAUACUCCCGUGUUUGAUCGAACCUGUGGCGCCACACUUUCUUGUUUUUGGAAGCUUAACCGAUCUGGCUAAGUACAAAGUAUGAAAAUGAGUUGAAAUCAAGGUCUUUUAAUCUCUCAGUUGAAAGUGUGCCCUGCGUGUGAAUUGAAAUUCCAGUGGCUUCAAAUGCAUGACCAGAUGUAUAACUUAUUUUGCCUCAUUCGAAUUGAGCGUUUUUUAUUUGAAAAAAAUAGCUCUGCCCUUUGUAUUGACAUAUUUUUUAUCUGCAAAAAUAUAAACUGUCUCUCCAGUAGGCUAUUA